rnacentral:rRNA from 1 species
AACCUAUGGACGGGAAUAACCUCGGGAAACUGAGAAUAAUGCCCGAUAGAACACUAUAUCUGGAAUGGUUUGUGUUCCAAAUGAUUUAUCGCCGUAGGAUGGGACUGCGGCCUAUCAGUUUGUUGGUGAGGUAAUGGCCCACCAAGACUAUUACAGGUACGGGCUCUGAGAGGAGUAGCCCGGAGAUGGGUACUGAGACACGGACCCAGGCCCUAUGGGGCGCAGCAGGCGAGAAAACUUUGCAAUGUGCGAAAGCACGACAAGGUUAAUCCGAGUGGUUUGUGCUAAACGAACCUUUUGUCGGUCCUAGAAACACCGAUGAAUAAGGGGUGGGCAAGUUCUGGUGUCAGCCGCCGCGGUAAAACCAGCACCUCAAGUGGUCAGGAUGAUUAUUGGGCCUAGAGCAUCCGUAGCCGGCGCUGUAAGUUUUCGGUUAAAUCUGUACGCUCAACGUACAGGCUGCCGGGAAUACUGCAGCGCUAGGGAGUGGGAGAGGUAGACGGUACUCGGUAGGAAGGGGUAAAAUCCUUUGAUCUAUUGAUGACCACCUGUGGCGAAGGCGGUCUACCAGAACACGUCCGACGGUGAGGGAUGAAAGCUGGGGGAGCAAACCGGAUUAGAUACCCGGGUAGUCCCAGCUGUAAACUAUGCAAACUCAGUGAUGCAUUGGCUUGUGGCCAAUGCAGUGCUGCAGGGAAGCCGUUAAGUUUGCCGCCUGGGAAGUACGUACGCAAGUAUGAAACUUAAAGGAAUUGGCGGGGGAGCACCACAAGGGGUGAAGCCUGCGGUUCAAUUGGAGUCAACGCCGGA